GCCCCCAUAGCUUAGUUGGUAGGGCAUUCGUUUAGAUAGCGAAAGGCCCCAGUUCAAGCCUGAGUGGAGGCA
rnacentral:tRNA from 1 species